rnacentral:other from 1 species
GGCUCUCUGCCCUGCACGUGAGACUCCAAUGUCCACGCGGUAUAAUUUUCGUUUCGGAACGGCUUCAGAGGUGCGGUGUGCAAGCCCGCCGCGGAGCGGGACGCCUGAUGCAUCAACAAGCCGGGCCACCUUGUUGGGAUAGUCGCUGUGAGACCCAACAGUCCACGACAGGUGUGGAGAGCUC